rnacentral:rRNA from 1 species
AACCCUCGCCUCUAGUUGCCAGCAUUCGGUUGGGCACUCUAGAGGGACUGCCGGCGACAAGUCGGAGGAAGUGGGGAUGACGUCAAAUCAUCAUGCCCCUUAUGACCUGGGCUACACACGUGCUACAAUGGGCGGUACAAAGGGCUGCGAACCCGCGAGGGGGAGCGAAUCCCAAAAAGCCGCUCUCAGUUCGGAUUGCAGGCCGCAACUCGCCUGCAUGAAGCCGGAAUCGCUAGUAAUCGCGGAUCAGCAUGCCGCGGUGAAUACGUUCCCGGGCCUU